UUUCAUGCUCUUGGUCUUCCCAGUUUUCUUAUUGGUAUGGUUUGGUUUUCUUUAUUUUUUGCCGACAAAUAAACAAAUCAACUUGCAAUAAAAUAAAUAUUAAAAUAAACUGAAAAAGCUCAAAUGCCGACAAAUUCCAGGCUGUUCAGUUCAAAAUUAAUUCUAUAGUAAGUAUGAAGAAUAAAAUAAAAGCAAUCAACCUGCAAGUUGAAAAUACUGCAUUCUUAAACCAAUGUUCAAACAGUGUAUGCAGAAGCAUGGAUCUGCUUUGUAAAUUAGACCUGCUGGCGUGAUAUGGCGGAGGCUGCGGUGAACUUUGCAAUAGAGACCUUGGGUCCUUUGCUUGUCGAAGAAAUCAGAUUGUGGGGAGCUGUUAGAAAAGAAGUUCAAAGUAUCAAAAGCGAACUGGAGAGUCUCAGAUCUUUCCUCAAAGACGCGGAUGCAAGGGCAGCAGUCGAAGAAUUAGAAGGAGGCGGUGAGGAAAGUGUCAGAACUUGGGAGAAACAACUGAGGGAUGAAGCUUAUCGCAUUGAAGAUGUGAUCGACGAGUACACACUCAUGGUGGCAAAACUCCCUCAUGGGAGUGGGCCUCGUUGGUGUUCUCCAUAGAAUCAGUCGUUUCAUAAAGAAGCUGAAGCUGCGGCGUGGAGUUGCUACUGAGAUUCAAGAUAUCAAAUCAGCGCUUGCUGAUAUAAAGGGAAGGGGAGAAAGAUAUCGAUUCAGAUCUAUUGAUGAACCAUCGAGCAGUGGAACCAGAAAUGUUAUCCCACAUGACUCUCGAGUUCGUUCCUUUUUCGUUGAAGAUGAUGAAGUUGUGGGCAUCAAAUCCAUUAAAGAUAAAUUGAUUGAUUUGAUGGUGAACGGAAGAUCCGAACGUUCAGUGGUUGCUGUGGUGGGUGAAGGAGGACUAGGCAAGACCACUGUUUCCGGAAAACUUUUUAACAAUGAUGGUUUAAAGAAUACAAAAAAAAUUAUUUGUUGAGGACAGUUAUAAAGGAGUUUCACAGUUUCUCAGGGCAGCCUACUCCAGUCGAGAUACACAAAAUGGAAGAGAUGGAGCUGAUCACCGCGCUGAGGGACCACCUGAAGGACAAGAGUUACAUGGUUGUGUUCGACGAUGUUUGGAAGAUUGAUUUCUGGGGAGACGUGGAGGAUGCUUUACUUGAUAACAAGAGAAGCAGCAGGAUAAUUGUCACAACACCGCACAUGAAUGUCGCUAAGUUUUGCAAAUCAUCUUCACCUGUUCAUGUCCAUGAGCUUGAAACUUUGCAUCCGAAUGAAGCGUGGAAACUUUUUUGUAGAAAGGCGUUCGGACCAAGCUCCGGAGGCUCUUGUCCUUCAGAGUUGAGGGCGUUGUCCCAGGACAUCCUUGCUAAAAGUGGAGGUUUGCCUCUUGCUAUUGUGGCCGUAGGUGGACUUCUUUCAACCAAGAACAGGGUUGUAUCUGAAUGGAAGAAAUUGUUUGAUAGGUUGGGCUCAAUGUUAGGAAGCGAUCCCCAUCUAAAAGAUUGCAACCGAGUUUUAUCUGAAGGGUAUCAUGAUCUUCCUCACCAUCUCAAAUCAUGUCUUCUGUACUUUGGCUUAUUUCCAGAGAGCUGCAAAGUUAACUGUGCUAGACUCAUCCGUUUGUGGAUAGCUGAGGGCUUUGUCCAGUACAGCAAACGCCCCACAUCUGAACAGGUUGCAGAAGAAUACUUGAAUGAGCUCGUUGACAGAAGCUUGGUUCAAGUUUCAGAGAGAGAUAUUUAUGGACGAGCUAGAAUCUGCCAAGUUCAUGAUCUUAUGCACGAGAUCAUCAUCAGAAAAACUGAAGAAUUGGGCUUCGGUCGUGUGCUGAACGGAGAGGACUUGAGUCAUUGCAGUAAAACUCGACGCAUUACUAUACAGAGAAGUAUUGAUGACGGUGCUUUAGAGAGAAUCAAGGACUCGAAGGUCCGUUCUGUUUUUCUUUUCAAUGUGGAUAGGCUGCCCGAUUCUUUCAUGAGUGCAAAUAUUGCCAAUUUCAAGCUCAUGAAAGUACUAGAUCUGGAAGAUGCUCCUGUAGAUUACCUUCCUGAAGGAGUGGGGAACUUAUUCAAUUUACACUACUUGAGUGUGAAAAAUACAAAAGUAGAAAGAAUUCCCAAGUCCAUUGGAAAUCUUCUCAGUUUAGAGACUUUGAAUAUGAAAAAUACUUUGGUGAGAGAACUUCCAGUAGAGAUCAGGAAUCUUAAAAAGUUGCGUUAUCUAAUGGUGUAUCAGCUCAAUUAUACCGCAGGUGGAACAGUGGCAGAAGAAGCAGCAGCGAAAUUACACGAGGGCUUUGGGUCUCUAACGAAUCUGCAGAAGUUGUGUAUUAUAGAAGCUGACUCUGAAGCGCUCAAAGAGCUUAUGAAGCUAAGGCAGUUAAGAAAGUUGAGCAUUAGGCCCCAAAAUGGAAGUGGCAAGGAUCUGUGUGCUUUGAUUGCAAAUUUGGAAAACCUAGAGUCUUUAAAUGUAGGAAUGAAAAGCAAAGAAGAAGUACUUGGCUUGCAGUCUUUGAGUCGUUCUCCUCGAUAUCUGCAGCGUCUGUACUUGAAGGGGAAUAUGAAGAAACUGCCGGAUUGGAUUUUUAAACUAAAAAAUGUAAUCAGAUUGAGUUUGGUACUGUCGGGAUUGACUGAGGAGCCAAUCAGAGUCCUUCAAGCCUUGCCUAAUUUAUUGGAUCUUUUACUCACAGGGACAUACAACUACGAGCUUUUUCACUUUGAAGCAGGUUGGUUUCCAAAACUCCAAAUAUUGAAGCUCUUUGACUUCGUCGCGGUGAAAUCGGUUAUAAUAGAGAAAGGUACGAUGCCUGAUAUUAAAGAACUGCAGAUUGGGCCUUGCCCGCUGUUGAUGGAGAUUCCUAUUGGAAUUGAACAUCUUAAAAACCUUAAGCUACUUCUAUUUGCUCGUAUGGUUAAACAAGUGUAUUACAUGACAAAAGACGAGAACUGGGAGAAGGUUACUGAGCAUAUACCAGAUGUCCUUGUCACUUUUGUGAAGGCCGGGCAAGUGUUUCAUUAUGGAAAAGAGGAUCUCUCGGUUCUCUCAUCUCUGUCUCCUGAAUAUGUUGAGCAAAUCUGCUGAAGAAGAGGACUCAAAUAGGGAGCAGUCUAUGAAAUAAGUAAACAUGUCUGCCACUCUCCUGCAUAUUUGGAUUAUUUUCUAUUUACUUUUAAGAAAAAUUAUUUUUCUCAUUUUUAAUUUGACAGACAAUUUAAUUAUAUAUAAUUCAAAUAAAAAUUCACCAAGAAAAUUCAUUUUUCCCUGUAAUUUGAGUACGUUUAAUAAAUAAAUAAACAAAUGCAGUAGGUCAGUAAAUCUUUUUCUAGUCAAAUAUAUAGUUAGAAUCAUAUAAUGAUUAGGUAUUAAUGUUAGUAUAGUAAUUUCCGUUAUAUUUUUUGUUACCAUGAACAGAUGGAGUAUAUAUAUCUUGCUUCUAGCGAAUUCAUUGAUGAGUUCAUCGAACGUAUACUGGAUCAGAUUGUGGCGGCAAUGCUGCUAUUGAUAUGCUUUGAGUUUCGGUAAUUAUUAUCAGUGUUAUCAUGUAAUACAUGCUUAUGUGAGUGGUUGCUGCUGCGAGUGUGAGUGUAUUCUUCUAUAUAUCUAAGACUCAGAUUAUGAUUUUAGAAAUAUUGUAGUAUUGCCAGGAAUCGUCAUCAUAUAAUAUUUAAUGUUUAAUAAUAAAACUGUCUAAUGUUUAAUAAUAAAAACUGUGUGCCAAUGUGGUUACCAUUGGUAUGUGGUUAAUUUGUGUGGAAUGAUGCAUUUGCCUUAAUUUUAAUCUGUACCUUGGUAGUGUCGUUAAGGUGCACCAAAUUUAAAACCUUACCACUAAUAUAAAUAAUUAGUACAAAGCGAAGUAAGGAUCGAUCCCACAGAGACUAUGCUAGUUAUAUUUAUUUAUCAACUCUAAAGCAAGAUUUAAAAUAAAAUAAUAGUAGUAAUAAUAGAAAUUAAUCUAACUAAAGAAAAUGCCAAUUAUAAAUAAAAAGGGGGUUUAUGAAUUUUUAACUAAAUAGUAAGAAAUAAAGAAAUUAAAACUACGAACAAGAAUUUAAUAAAAACUCUAGUUAAAGGAAAAAGAAAUAAUGAUGAUGAAAACUUUGGUUAAAGGAUCAUUCGCCACCACCAAACAUGCACAUAAUAUAUUAAUUCUAUCAUCAAUUUAUAUUGAAACUAUCAACCGUAGACAACAAUAAGCUCUGUUAGUCUCAAUCUUUCCUUAGUGUGUCGUUAGGCAAAACAAGCUCUUCACCUAAUCUUUAACCAUUAAAUAAUUUAAAACAAGCUCUUUAAAUUUAAGAUAAUGGAAGCAUUAAACAAAGAAAUAUAUUAAAUUGAUCUAGGCAAUAAACACACAAGCUCGGAUUAUUUAACCUAGGUUAUGUUCUCCAAUUGAAAUCACUGAUUCCAACCUGCUACUAAUGAUUAAAAUAUCAAGACAAUUACGGAUCAAGAAUUUUAAUCUAGCAAUAGAAUUUAUUCAAGUCCUAUCUAAUUGGCCACUCAAAUAAAACAAGAAUAAACCAUGAAUAUUAAUUAUAAAAGAACAUAAACAAUCUCAAUUAAAUAAAUUGAAUGAUAGAGUUUAACUUUAAUUGCAUAGCAUGUUUAGGGUUUUGAAUUCACCCUCAACCAAAUAAAAAUUUAGCCUAACAUAAUUGAAUUGGGAAGAAGAGAAUUGACAAAACCAAUCAUGGAGAUUAAUUCAAGCGGCUGCUGAUUUUUCUCUUCUCCUUGCGCCUGUUGAUUUUUUUCUCUGCCCGAAUUGCGUCUGCCCUCCCCUCUCGCUCUCUGGCAGCUCUCCUUUUAUAAUGCUAGUUGACCGAAUUCUUCUCCAACAAGUCUAAAGAAAUCCUUUUUCAAUUCUAAUUGAAAUCCUUUUCCAAUUUGAACUUGUAUUCCUUUUCAAUUUGAACUUCUUCAUGUCCUUUUUAUCCACAAUCUCCAAUUAAUUCCCUAUUCAAUAAAAUAAUACAAUUAAUUAAAAAUAAUAAAUAAAAAUAACUAGCAAAUAUAUAAUAAAGGGUAAAAUAUGUAUAUUAAUUAAUUCCCUAUUCAAUUAAAAAUUAACUAAAAUAACUAGAAUGUUUCAGAUCAAAACAAGAAAAAGAUGGAGAAAUUAAUAACAAAAUAUAUGAAAAAUAUGCACUUAUCAUACCUUAUUGUCUUCGUCAUAAUAACUUAGCAAAAAAUUGUAUCACAUGCAUUUUCAUGUUCUCAAGUUUAAUUUCCUCUUCAUUUGCAUAAUUGUGCUUAUUAUUUUGCGACAUCUAUCUGGAUUAGUCUACAACUUUCAUUGGAUUUAUUUAUUUAUUUUAUUUAAGAAGUGAACUGGACAUGUAUGUGAAACCGUUAUUCUAAAAAUUAAAUGCAUAGUUAAGAUUGCGGUUAAUGAAUUUUCAAACAAUCACUUAUUUAAAAAAAAAAAAUUACUCAAUUAUAUUUGAGUUGUCAAAUUAUUUUAAGUAAACAUAUAUCAUUUUUGGACUGGAUACACUCACAAUCAUCAAAUAAUUGAUUUUCAAAUAUAAUUUGAGAAUAAAAUCCAUCUGGAUUGCAGACUUUUUGUAACACAGAGAAAGUCUAUAAUUGGGAUUGGGGAAUUAAACUUACUAAGCCAUUCUACUAUUCUUGGGGAAAAAAUAUAAGUGGCAGCAGUUAGGGUUAUAAGGUAAAGAAUACAGAGAAACUUUAUAAAAAAAAGCAUAGGUGACUCUAAAUUUACAAUCAAAUAAAAGAGAAAUUUUAUUUUAAAAAAAAAGUAUGGGUAACUCUAAAGUUAGAAAAUUACAGAUGAUUGCGAUUGAAUUUGUAAUUUUGCUUUCGAAAUUGCUUUAAGUUGCUUAGUAAAUUGGUCCUGCGGAGACUCACUCCUUAUAAUCUAUAUGUUAGAUCAAAGUGUUAGUUUUUGCGUGAGUUAAAGAGAAAGAUUGAUAGAAAUUUCAUCUUAUUUUUUCAUGUCAUGGAUAAAUGAGAGCCGAAACAAUGUUGAGUCUCUUCACUAUAAAAGCAAUUUUCAUACAUCUUUUCCUUCAGCUUUAUGAUAUUCAAUGCACGUAGUCCCGAGUCCCUACCUCUAGCCCUUUAUUAAUUAUUGGUUAAGAAACUUGUGGGCCUUAAAUGAUAAGAUAUAUACUUCUUAACUCCACCUUCACGGUUUCGCCAUCUUGGUUGGAAGAAAUCAUUAAAAGAAACACAGAUAAAAUUAAACACAGAUAAAAUUAAAAAAAUCAUUAAAAGAAAUUGUAACCGCUGCUCAUCAAUAAAAAGCCAUCUUGGUUGGAAGAAUUUCAAUAAAAAUACAGAUGGUAUUUGAUUUGAAUUUGAAAAGUAAAUUAAGGACACUAAUAAAUAAGGAAACACAAAUAAAAAAGCCAAAACACAAACGACCACAUAUACAUAGGCCGGGCCGUGCCCUUGGACAUGACAACACGACCCUCAAAUAAUUUCAAUCUCUUGAUUAUUAUUCCCAAAACACCUUUCCAAACUUUCCCUGCAUUAAAAGUCAUGAAGAUAAUUCAUUAAUUUGAUCAAACAGUAAAGUUAAUUAUGUCAUUGUAUAUUUGUGGGUCAAGUUAAAUGAAGCAUUUUCCUCCAUAUUGAUCAUUUUCCCAGCGAACGUAUAACAAACUUUUCAGCACUUUAAUUAAUCUCACCGUUAAGUCUUAAACUCUCUCUGUAUUCAACACAUCGACCCUUGAAUCUUGAUGGCAAUAUUAGUAGUAGGUAUGGCUGCUGAAGAAGAAGAGAAAAGAGAAAUGAGUUUUACAGAAAAAGAUGAAGAAGAAGAUAAAUGGAUAAUGCAUUAUUCAUCAAAGCAUCAAAUACUGUUAGUGGGUGAAAGAGAUUUCUCGUUUUCCUUUGCUUAUCGCAGAAAUUUGGCUCUGCUUCUAACAUCUGGGCUUCUUCUCUUGAUUCUUAUGGUAAUUCAUUCAUUUCUCUAAUCUCUCUCUUCUCUUACAUCUUUUUUGUUUCUUUAGAUUUUUUUUUUAUCAUAUGAUGUGGCAAAAAUUAUUCUGUUUAUAAGUCUUUAUCCUCAAUUUGAUAUGUUAAAUUGUCACUUACUUUGAUGUGUAACCGUAAAGAAAUGAUCAAAUUUAUAGGAAAAUAGUAAAAUGACCAGGAAAACUAGGAAAACGUAUUAUUAAUGCCUCUGUUUUUUUUUUUUUUUUUCCAAUAAUUGGAUUUCAUAUGAUGGGAGGCCAAAAUGACCCUAUUUACAAAUCUUUAUCUUCAAUUUGAACUGUUUUACUUCAAAACUAGAACUAUUAAAUAAGAGUCAGGCAUUAGUACAAAAGUUAAAUAUAACAGUCCGGUCCCUUCUUUAUAAGGUGAAUAUCAUUUCAAGGUCACAUUUAUUUAGGGGCGAAGCUACUUUUUUCAAGCUGGUGGUUAGACUAAUUUUUUUAAGUUAAAAAAAAAUCUUAAAGUAAAGCUAUUGAAUUAAACCAUAACAAUAAGUUACACAUUUUUUAGGUUUUAAUAAUAUUUUGUGAUUUAUGUUUAUUUAAAAGUAAAAAUUAUCAAACUUCAAAACUGUGACUACAAUACUCCAUGAGUGCCAUACUCCACAACUUGGCCCUGCUAGAUGGUUCUAGAUUAUUGACUUUUAAUUACUUUUUAAUUAUCUAAUGAUGCUUAGUCUAUAGAGUACGGUAUCCUUAGAAAUCAUAAAUAGACACUUUAAAGAAUUAAAAGCUAAAUGAGUGAUAAAUAUCUUUUUGUAAUUAGUUUAAUUGAGACCAAAAAUAGAUUUCUAAAAUGAGAUGGAGUGGGGAAGAAGUUGGGAAAAAUGACCGUGAGCUUGAGCGAUAAACUUGUAAAUUAUGCUGUGGUGUUUUGUUAAAAAUAACAGUGGCAGCUAGUUUUAUAAAUUCUGCAUGGUAAUUUUGUGAACAACAUAGAAAUAAAAAAUAAAAAAACUAAAAAACUAAAUUAUUAUUAUUAUUAUUUUGUUGGCGUAUCUUGCUUAUUUGGAAGUGAACAUAAAUUGUAUAUUUGGAUGGACUAGAAACUGUGAUUCAGAAAUUCAAGGAGGCACGGUCAAAUUUGGACACCCUAAGGAAGCUGGGAGCAUCCAUUCUCCAUGGAGUUGAUGCAACUGAAAUGAAGUAACAUCCUCAAUUUACCAAGCGGAAGUUCGAUAGAAUAAUCUUCAACUUCCCCCAUGCUGGCUUUCAUGGAAAGGAAGAAGAUGACGAAGUUAUUCGUGAGCUGCCUGGUGAGUCCAUUGGACAUAUGUGUCAAUAUAGUGAGUUAAAAAUGGUUGUAAUACGAGGGAACUUGAUAUAUAAAGUGAUCCAUAUUUCUUAAUAAUUCAAGAUGCAUGUAGUGUUCAGGAGUUUGCGUGAUAUUUCCACGUCACCAAUUCUUAAAAUGUUGGCUCCUACACCUGUUCCAUGAUCUUUCUUCUGGUAAUUAUCGCAGAAUGCAUAUGAGCCUUGUGGAAGGUUUCUUCAGAAAUGCAAGUGGUAUGCUGAGGCCAGAUGGUGAAGUUCAUGUAAGCCACAAAACAACAGCUCCAUUUUGCAAAUGGCAUAUCGAUCGAGGAACUCGCUCGCAAGCACUCUUUGUCAAGACUCGACUGUGUCCAAUUUAGAAAAAAAGACGACCCAGGUCACAACAACAAGAAAGGUGCUGGUUCGCAAUGCAAUGACCAUUUUCCCUUGAGAAAGUGCAGUACCUUCAAAUUUGGAUUCUAUCGUGCUCGCAAGAGGUCUAAAGUAAUGAGUUAUGGUGGAUUUGCUAUCAAAAGACCUAAGGCUGCUCAAGAGAUUCCAAUCGAAGCGCAGAAGCAUGAAACGGAUCCAUUUGACUGGAGAUAUACUAAUGCAAGGUCAGCUACUGAUAUGAAUGAAUUUCCAUUGUGUGUGAAGUUUGAUAGUAGCUGGGUGGGUUACUCUGUUCCAAGCUUUACCAGAAAUAUGACUGAUGGUCCAGGAUAUAAGAGACAAGCUUUGAUGAGUAAUGCCACGUUCCAUAAUGGCUGCUUUAAUACUCCCAACACGACGCUUAGAACAGUUGCUGACGACGUGGGCUAUGUUGUUCCCGAAUCACGAAUUCCAUAUGAAAGAUAUAACACGGAAGUAGCAGGAUUCCAAAGAGAAAAUGCUAGGAGUUAUGAUAAAGCAGUGCGACCAGGAAGAACCUUAAACGGAUUUUUGUAUCCUAUGGAGGGACGUGACUGUGAGGGAACUUUGAGACCAGCACAGUCGCCAAGGAUGAGGUUAGGAUUUAGUCACCAGCUGCUUUAAGGGAGAACGUGGUGCUAUUAUGCUUUCGUGGAACAUUGAGCGACUUUUUGUCUUUAGUCGUGAAUUCUAGCUAGUUAAGCAUAUAUAGGUAUCGCAGUGUAGGUAAAAAGUUUUUAUUUGCUUUCAUUUCUGUUUGUCCUAAAAAUUAAGAAUUUCAGCAAUCUGUUGGUGUGUUGCAUGGUGUUGUCAAUCUCCUAUUUGCAAAGAACUCGAUCUGUUUCCUGUUGAUAGAACUAAAUUUAGCUUAACAAGAUCGAUGAAUUCAUCAAUGCAUUCACCACAAGUAAGAUACUCCUCCAUCGGUCAAUUAAGACAUGCAUGCAAAUUAUAGUAAUGCUACAAUUAAUAUACUUUUAUCAGUGUUAUUAUGUAAUAUAUGCUUAUGUGAGUGGUUGCUGCUGUGAGUUAGUGUAAUCUUUGUAUAUCUAAGACAAUAAUUUUAGAAUUGUUGUAAUUCUAUUGUCAUCAUAUCGUAAUCCGGUUUUAAUUAAAAAAAGAAAACGAAAAUUGUGUCCCAAUGUGAUUACCACUGCUGUAUGUUAACUUAUGCGGAAUGAUGCAUGCCUUAAUUAUGUUUGAGUUUUCAAAUUAUUUUAAUCAAACAUAUGCAGUUGAUAAGAAUUGUCCUUAGUUUUAGAUUCGAUACACUAGCAAUCAUCAAGUAAUUGAUUAUCAAAUAUAAUCUGGGAGUAGGAUCCAGUACAAUUGAUAAGUUGCCCAAUCCCAAACAUGUAUAAAGAGUUGUUUGUAUUUUGUUUAAAGUCUAAAUUUUACUUAUUUUCAGACAUUUAUUGUUUUUCAUUUAUUAGUUUUCUGUCACUUAUAUUUGGUUACAGGGUCCAGCUACCGUGCCCGAGGGGCAGGGUACUAGGGAUGGCAAUGGGGAGGGGAGGGGAGGGGAGGGGACCAAUCUCUCCGUACCCAUCCUCGAUAUUUUGCGUAUGUCCCCGUCCCCGUCAGAAUUACUUGAGAGAAUCUUCAUCCUCUCCCCGAAUAAUAACAGGGGAUCCCCAAGGGUCCCCGAUCCCCGAAUAAUUAAUACAUUUUUUGUUUUCGAUUUUGAGUUAAUCAUAUUAAAAUAAAAAAUUCAAAUAAAAGUAAAGUUUGAAAUAUAUCUUACAUUAAUAUCCAUUACAAAAGUUACAUACAUUAAAUUAGUAAGUAACGCAGCAUGUAAGGGAUACAAAUUUCUUUUACAAACUAUCGUGAAUAAAUUAAUAGUCUAAUACAAAAUUGUUACACAUAAAAUCAAAUUUAGAUUCAAAAUUAACUUUUUCAAUGGUGGCGUGGCACUUUAUAAAAUGUGCACUAUUCCCUUUACAACACAAUAGUUAAGUCGGAGCAAAUCAAAAGUAAAUAUUAGAUUAAAUUAUAUUAGAUUAAAUUAAAUUAGAUAUUAAAAUUGUGAUUCGCUGUAGGCAAUUAUAACAUCUAAAAAUAAAUAAAAAAUAGAUUUAAGUUUAAAACAUUUAAUGAAUAUUAAAAUUAAAACAAAAUUUUUGGGCUAAUAAAAUUUACCCAGUUUUUUUAAUGUCCUAAAUAAAAAUUUAUGACUUUAAGUAGUUAAUUAGGCCUAAAAGUUUAAUAAUAUAAAUAUUUUUAUAUUUGUAUUUUUACCAAUAUUUAUAAUUUUAUAAUUCAAAUUUUAUUAUUUAUUUACUAGUAAUUUUAAAAAAUAAAAAUAAAAUAAAAAAUUAAAAUGGGGAAAUGGGUAGGGGAUGGGGAUGGGGAUUCCACCUCAUCCCCGUCCCCUCCCCGAAUAAGAAAUUGGGUAAAAAAAUUUUCCUGUCCCUUCCCCGAAUAAGAAAUUGGGUAUGAAAUUAUCUUCAUACCCUCCCUGAAUGGGGAAAAUCCCCGAGGGUACCCGUCCCCCUGGGGAUUUUUGCCAUCCCUACAUGGUACCCUUUUUUUUUGUCAUUAUCCAGUGUAGCCGUUAGAUUAUAAUUAAUUUAAUCCAACGGAUGGGGUUUGAAAGGCGUAAAAGUCAAUUACAGUGGGAAACCGUCGAAACCAGUUUCUUCCAGUUUCUUUGUUCGAGAUAAGUGCUAGGGACUGUAAACCCUUACUAGCCAUUUUGACCGAUGACAGCGGUUUCUCGAAUGCAAGAAAAUUGAAAUGGGCAAGGCGUAACUGUGGCUGGGGCAGCACUUCCGUGUGGGAUUUUUGAAUUGGCUUGCGAUGACUUGCAGUUUGUCGUGGCAGUAUUGAAUGAAUCAGAAGGGAUUGGAUUAACAAAAUUUAAGGUCAGUGUAAUUCGAAUUUUAGAUUAGUGAUAGGAAUCAUUUGUCGCUAAUAAAAGUGGAUGGUGGAAAUUCAACGUUUCGUUUGGAUAAUUGGAAAAAUUGAGGGGGCAUGGCAAAAAAUUUAAAUUUAAAUUAAGGAUAUGUCCUGAACAACGCGGUUGCUGGUUGAGUGGAAAUAUUGAACCCAGAUGAAUAAUGAAUUGUUUUACAUAUACACGAUUGCAAAAUAUAUGUUGUACAGAGAUGGAAAAAUUGAGGAGUAGAGGGCAAUAAUUAUUCAAAUUAUUUAGGGAUUAUUUAGCAGCAGUUCAAUAAAAUCUCACCAGAGCCAGCAAUCUAAUCGCGCUCCGUUCUUCCUCACCAUUCUCAUAGUCGGCUCGCUCUGUCUUCUCCGUCGAUUUAAUCUCUCACAACAAUUAGCGCCACAUCUUCUUCACUUUAGAAUAAGAAACACUCAGCUGAAGAAAUCACAAAACAUAAAACUCAAAUAUAGCAUUAAGCAUAAACUCAGUUAAAAUUGAGCUCCAAAUUAUAGAUUCCAUCUGAAUUAUUAUACAACGUUGCAUCUAUAUAUCAAUUAUCAUUCGAAUAAAACAAAAACCAAAAUAGGGAAAAGGCAUGGUAUACAAUCAUUCAUGGGUUAGACACAUAAAUCACUGUGUAAUCAGACAUUCUAACAAGAAAUUUCCAACAGUCGGCGAAGAGAUAACGGCAGCUAUGACCCACAACUGCUAUGGAUUUAGGAGGGAGAGAGAGUGAGCCGCAGUUGUUGGAUUUGGAGAAGGAGAGACCCACAGCGGGGAAGAGAGAGUGACCCAUGGCGGUUGGAUUUGGGGUGAAGGGAAGGGAGAGAGCCGACAAUGAGAUUAGUGGCGAGAGAGCAAGAGGGAGAGAGCGUGUGUGUUGCAAUUGUGAACACGUGUGUGUUACAAUUUAUACUUAUGAUGGGUGUCGAAGCCAACAAAAAUAAAUUCCUACUCUAAAUAAAUUGUGUAUAGUGAUUGAGCAGGGUCGUGUCUACAGAGAUCGGUAAUUAUUUAAAUCCUUUUGAAACGUAAAACGUAAAAUGGGGGAAUUGUUGACAAUAAUAAAAAUCAAAUUAAAAUAACAAGAAUGCAAAUUAAAGUUGUAAUUCAAAUUGGAGAAAGCUCUGGUUGAAGGAAUCAACUCAGCUUGAUUCGACUACUGAUCAUUGAUUCAAAUAUAGAUUAUUAUUAUUACUUAUGAAUAGACCGGUUAUAGCUACUGAGACCCUCUAAUAGCCAAUCUCUCCUUAACUAGUCGAUAACCAAGGUACGACCGUUGGUUAUUUCCCUAAUCAAUAGACAACCCUAGAUACGAUCAUAGGAUUUAAUCAAUUGACAGCCUGAGAAACCAGAGAGACCCAAAUCCUAAUCAACACAUAUGAUGAUUCAUUUAAAUUAGAUUGUUUAUUCUCACAACACAACUCUCUGCUAUGUUAUUUGUCACAAACAUUAAAUUCUUCAUACGAUGAAUCCUUUAAUUGACAAUAGAUUAAGUUGAUAAUUAAAUAGUGGCCAAUUACUUAAUUAACAAACAUAAUCAUGAAACUAAUUCAGAGAAUAAACAAAUACCCAAAAAGUAAUAAAACAAUUAAAGCACAAGAAAGAUCUCACAGUAGUGAUGAAUCAAAGCUUCAUUAUCCUUCAACCAGAAAAAUAGGUUUAGUUCUUCAUAGAGAGAAGAGAAAAAUUAGAUCUAGGGUUUCUUUUUUUUUCUCCAAUCCAAAAAUCCCCCCUUUUUCACAAUAGAUUCCUCCCUUAAAUACUCUCUCUCUAUUCUCUUUUAGAAUUCUAUUUAAAAUAAAAUCCUAAUAUCUGAAAUAUUAAAUUCGUAAUUACAAAAAUAACCAAAAAUACAAAACACGUUAAACUAAAAACUGCAGGUCCGCAGUUGACAGCACGCGCCCACGCCUUAUCAACAAAGUUCUUCUGACGCUCAUAAUUUCUCCAAGAGAACAAUCCUCCUUAAACAUCAUCUUUUAGCUCAAUUUUAUCAUCAAUCAAUAGAAUUGCACCUACAAAAGUAAAACAUUAUUAUUAAGUGCAAAACAUCGAUAUUAAGGGAAGUAAACAAUGCAAAACUAGUGCAUAAAUUGCACUCUAACAACUUACCUCAAAACGCACCGUUCGUUGCUAUUUAUGGUGCUAAAUGUGGUGUGAAUCUCACUUUCCAAGAAAUUUAUUGUUAUAUACACCAACUUUUUAUUGUUUCCUUUAACACAGUAAUUGCAACAUGAAUAGUUCCUGUCUUAUGACCACCACUCUGGGUUUCCUUAAACUGUCGCGUGACCACUUCAGAGCUGUAUGAUUUUGCUCUUUUUCAUCCAACGGCUAGCUCACUGCAUGACAAAGUAAGGGGGUACCGUGCCCAAGGGGCAUUGUAGACGGAGCCCUGGUUAUAAGAUGUUUACGUCUGAAUUGAAAAAGUUAAAUAUUUUAACUUUUAUCUAAAGGACAAAAUAUCUGAAUAUAACUUUAAUAUUUUCUAAUUAUUACCCCUUUUAAAUAAAUUUAUUUUUUAUUAUACAAAUUAUUCUUUUAUUUUUUUUUAAUUUAUCCUUUUUUUGGGUUAUAUGUGCGUAUUCAACUUUUUCUUUGAAUGAGAAUUUUAACAUAAUAAAGUUUUUAGGUGAGUGCGUUUUAUAACAGGUCCAUCUUUUUAUAUUUAUAUUUACUAUUCUUAUAAUGGAUUUUGAAUUUUGUUUAAUACAUUAAUUUUAAUUCAAAUGAUUAAAUAAUUCUUAAUUGGCUUUUGUAAUUAAUAAGAAUAUCAACCUAAUAUACCAAAAAGAACAUUAUAAGUAUCAUAUAUUAAUGUAAAAAAAUACAUAUGUUAUAUAUAUAUAUAUAUAUAUAUAUAUAUAUAUAUAUAUAUUAUUUUUCUUGCUUUGUUAAGGUAAACAUUAUCUCAAAUUUUUUUUUUACUAAUUAAAUAAUUCAUCUAUAACUUGUCAUGUGUUUAACCAGUAAAAUUGAAGUAUUGUUAAUAUUUAUAUGUUAUACAUGUCAAAAUAUCAUAUUUAAGAUGUUUUAAUUUCGAAAAAUAAAUAACUUAACGCUUAUAUUCAGUUAUUGAAAAAAAAAACAUGUUAUUUAGAUAUAUGUAUUUAAACUAUUAAAAUUUUUGUUAAAUUCAAACAUAUUCAGAUUUCAAACUAAAAAAAAAAAAUGCUACCUUAGUCCUGUAAAUAAAUUAAAAUACAUAAAUUAUGUGGUUUUAGAGGGUUCAUUUCAGCAAUUCAGCCGGUCGUGUACUGCCUUUUGUGAGUUACAAGACCAUGUGCGGAUUGACCAAAGAAAAUCAUAAUUUAACGAUAUUUUCUUUUAAGAUUAAAUCACAUUGAUCUCAUCUUUAUAUUCUUAAAAAAUGUUACAAAAUCUUAUUUGCACCAUAACUUAGUAAACCCGUUCUCUAAAUCUUAUUUGCACCAUAACUUAGUAAACCCAUUCUUAGUUAGAGAACCCGCCAGCAACCCAUUUCUCUUAUUUAUUUCGUGUCCUUCCCUCACAUUUUUUUUGAUUUUUUCCUUUGCUAAAGAAACCUCCUUCCUAUUUUCUUAUCGUAAAGCGAUUGGAACCCCUUCUUGAAUAACCUCAUUUCAAAUAAAAUUAUAUUAUAUUAAACAAUAAAUAAAAAUUGAACGUACUUAAAAUAUUUUAUAACAAAUUACUUACAUUCAUAAUCAAUUUUUUUUUUACUCGUCACUUCUAUUUAAUCAAAAUAAAUUAUAAAAAAUUAAAUUAAUAUAUUUUUCUUUUCCUAUUUCUUACUGAUUAAAAAUUUUUAUACCGAAGUUUGCUUUCAAAUUAUAGUUUAAAAUAUGUGUAAUUUUAUUUAAUAAUUGACUUUAAAAAUCUGUUACUAAAAAACUUUUUAACAUAUUGUGUAGGACAACAAAAUGUGUUAUGUCUCGUAGUUAAUUUUUUUAUAUUAUAGUAAUGAUGUGUUAUUCUUUGUGCUAUGCACCUAUUACUAUGGUUUUUUCGGUACUGCCUUUUUUUAAUUUUUUUUUUCGUUUAAUGUCUUCCAACGAAGUUUUGCUGGGAAUUUAUACAAUUACUGAAUUAAGCUACUUUAUAUAUGUUGAAUUUAUAAAAUAAAAAAGACUCAAUCAUAAGAGUUCGGAAGGAAUCGUUUUCAGUUUUUAUGAUGAUCGCAUUAGUAACUUAGCCAGGAAACUUUGUGUGCACUGAUUGCCUCUAGAUUGUAAAUUCAAUUGAUCUCGUCUUGGUUGAAGUAGAUGAUAGUAAAUAGUAUCUGAGUUUCAUUUCAGAUUCCAAAAACAAUUCUCCAUGUGAAUGGUUAAGUAGAGAUUCACAUUGCUUUCUUUUUCUUUAGAGGAAUGGCUGACUCCUUUGAUCAUGAAAUUGUAUCACGGCUAUCACAAAAACUCGAGUAAUUCUAUUUAUAUAAUCAAAAUAGAGUUGAGUUCGAGCUCCUUCAUUUUAACUGAUUUAUUAUGAUGCAUAACCACAAAUGAUGAGAUGGUGUUGGAUAUGAUAAUGGGAAUUAGUUGUCAAGGAGAAAAUUAAUACAGUUAGUCGCAAAACUCUCCUAGUCCUUGGAAGUAAUUUAAAGGAAAGGUGCAUCAAUUUGUUUGUGUAGCUUACUGUAUGGUUAGAGAAUUUCGUGCUCUUGGUCUUCUGAGCUUUCUUACUCUUGAUUCUAUAGACCUGCGCCCAACAUUUAUCAAGGUUUGGCUUUCUUUAUUUUUUGCUCUUUUUGUGGCUUUUUUGUUUUUGUUUUCGGUUUUCUUUUUUUUUUUUGUUUAUGGCUCUUGGGCCAUAAAUUAUCACAAAAGACAAGUCUUCUCUGGUCUCCGGGAAGAGAAAUGGAAAUUGCAAAAAGUUUUGAUAAUUUUUUGUGCAAUGUAGGACCCAAUAAAGGCAAAAAAAGUUGAAAACACUUUUGUUGUUUUCUAAUUUUAUGAAGGAGUGAGAAUGAUUUUUUAUUUAUUUUUAAUGACUGUGGUGCAAUUUUGCAAAAGAUUAUAUGCCCGAUAAAAAGAGAGCAUCUAUGGUCAAGUGUGCGCCACACAUAUUAUCGAGUGCGAUAGCGCGUGGGAUGAGCUUUCUUAAGAGGGCGCUGGGCACCACAGCAAAGCUUCCCCAAUGAAAGCUCGCCACUCAUUAAGCUACUCCAGAUAUACACGGCUGCAAAAAUAAACAAAUCAACUUGCAAUAAAAUAAAUAUUAAAAUAAACUGAAAAAAGCUCAAAUGCCGACAAAUUCCACUUUGCUUCAAAAUUAACUUUAUAGUAAGUAUGAAGAAUAAAAUAUAAACAAUCAACUUCCAAGUUGAAAAUUCUGCAUUCUUAAACCAAUGUUCAAACAGUGUAUGCUGAAGCAUCGAUCUGCUUUGUAAAUUAGACCUGCUGGCAUGAUAUGGCGGAGGCCGCGGUGAACUUUGCUCUAGAGACCUUGGGUCCUUUGCUUGUCGAAGAAAUCAGAUUGUGGGGAGGUGUUAGAAAAGAAGUUCAAAGCAUCAAAAGCGAACUGGAGAGUCUCAGAUCUUUCCUCAAAGACGCAGAUGCAAGGGCAGCAGUCGAAGAAUUAAAAGGAGGCGGUGAGGAAAGUGUCAGAACUUGGGUGAAACAACUGAGGGAUGAAGCUUAUCGCAUUGAAGAUGUGAUCGACGAGUACACACUCACGGUGGCAAAACUCCCUCAUGGGAGUGGCCUCGUUGGUGUUCUCCAUAGAAUCAGUCGUUUCAUAAAGAAGUUGAAGCUGCGGUGUGGAGUUGCUACUGAGAUUCAAGAUAUCAAAUCAGCGCUUGCUGAUAUAAAGGGAAGGGGAGAAAGAUAUCGAUUCAGAUCUAUUGAUGAACCAUCGAGCAGUGGAACCAGAAAUGUUAUCCCACAUGACUCUCGAGUUCGUUCCUUUUUCGUUGAAGAUGAUGAAGUUGUGGGCAUCGAAUCCAUUAAAGAUAAAUUGAUUGAUUUGAUGGUGAACGGAAGAUCCGAACGUUCAGUGGUUGCUGUGGUGGGUGAAGGAGGACUAGGCAAGACCACUCUUGCCGGAAAACUUUUUAACAAUGAUGGUUUAAAAACUCACUUCAGUAGCCGGGCUUGGGUCACCGUUGGGAAAAAAUACAAAAAAAAUGAUCUGUUGAGGACAAUUCUAAAGGAGUUUCAUCGUUUGUCAAAACAUGGAAGAGAUGGACCUGAUAACUACGCUGAGGGACCACUCUUGCCUACUCUAGAGGAGAUACACAACAUGGAAGAGAUGGACCUGAUCACCACGCUGAGGGACCACUUGAAGGACAAAAGUUACAUGGUUGUGUUUGACGAUGUUUGGAAGAUUGAUUUUUGGAGAGACGUGGAGCAUGCUUUACUUGAUAACAAGAAAAGCAGCAGGAUAAUUGUCACAACACGGCGCAUGGAUGUCGCUAAGUUUUGCAAAUCAUCUUCCCCUGUUCAUGUCCAUGAGCUUGAAACUUUGCAUCCGAAUGAAGCGUGGAAACUUUUUUGUAGAAAGGCGUUCGGAACAAGCUCCGGAGGCUCUUGUCCUUCAGGGUUGAGGGAGUUGUCCCAGGACAUCCUUGCAAAAUGUGGAGGUUUGCCUCUUGCUAUUGUGGGCGUAGGUGGACUUCUUUCAACCAAGGACAUGGUUGUAUCUGAAUGGAAGAAAUUGUUUGAUAGGUUGGGCUCACUGUUAGGAAGCGAUCCCCAUCUAAAAGAUUGCAACCGAGUUUUAUCUGAAGGGUAUUAUGAUCUUCCUCACCAUCUCAAAUCAUGUCUUCUGUACUUUGGCUUAUUUCCAGAGAGCUGCAAAGUUAACUGUGCUAGACUCAUCCGUUUGUGGAUAGCUGAGGGCUUUGUCCAGUACAGCAAACGCCCCACAUCUGAACAGGUUGCAGAAGAAUACUUGAAUGAGCUCGUUGACAGAAGCUUGGUUCAAGUUUCAGAGAGAGAUAUUUCUGGACGAGCUAGAAUCUGCCAAGUUCAUGAUCUUAUGCACGAGAUCAUCAUCAGAAAAACUGAAGAAUUGGGCUUCGGUCGUGUGCUGAACGGAGAGGACUUGAGUCGCUGCAGUAAAACUCGACGCAUUACUAUGCAGAGAAGUAUUGAUGAUGGUGCUUUAGUGAGCAUCAAGGACUCGAAGGUCCGUUCUGUUUUUCUGUUCAAUAUAGAUAAGCUGCCCGACUCUUUCAUGAAUGCAAAUAUUGCCAAUUUCAAGCUCAUGAAAGUACUAGAUCUGGAAGAUGCUCCUAUAGUUUACCUUCCUGAAGGAGUGGGAAACUUAUUCAAUUUGCACUACUUGAGUGUGAGAAAUACAGAAGUAAAAAUAAUUCCCAAGUCCAUUGGAAAUCUUCUCAGUUUAGAGACUUUGAAUAUGAAAAAUACUUUGGUGAGAGAACUUCCAGUAGAGAUCAGGAAUCUUAAAAAGUUGCGUUAUCUAAUGGUGUAUCAGCUCAAUUAUACCGCAGGUGGAACAGUAGCAGAAGAAGCAGCAGCGAAAUUACACGAGGGCUUUGGGUCUCUAACGAAUCUGCAGAAGUUGUGUAUUAUAGAAGCUGACUCUGAAGCGCUCAAAGAGCUUAUGAAGCUAAGGCAGUUAAAAAAGUUGAGCAUUAGGCCCCAAAAUGGAAGUGGCAAGGAUCUGUGUGCUUUGAUUGCAAAUUUGGAAAACCUAGAGUCUUUAAAUGUAGGAAUGAAAAGCAAAGAAGAAGUACUUGGCUUGCAGUCUUUGAGUCGUCCUCCUCGAUAUCUGCAGCGUCUGUACUUGAAGGGGAAUAUGAAGAAACUGCCGGAUUGGAUUUUUAAACUAAAAAAUGUAAUCAGAUUGAGUUUGGUACUGUCGGGAUUGACUGAGGAGCCAAUUAGAGUCCUUCAAGCCUUGCCUAAUUUAUUGGAUCUUUUACUCACAGGGACAUACAACUACGAGCUUUUUCACUUUGAAGCAGGUUGGUUUCCAAAACUCCAAAUAUUGAAGCUCUUUGACUUCGUCGCGGUGAAAUCGGUUAUAAUAGAGAAAGGUACGAUGCCUGAUAUUAAAGAACUGCAGAUUGGGCCUUGCCCGCUGUUGAUGGAGAUUCCUAUUGGAAUUGAACAUCUUAAAAACCUUAAGCUACUUCUAUUUGCUCGUAUGGUUAAACAAGUGUAUUACAUGACAAAAGACGAGAACUGGGAGAAGGUUACUGAGCAUAUACCAGAUGUCCUUGUCACUUUUGUGAAGGCCGGGCAAGUGUUUCAUUAUGGAAAAGAGGAUCUCUCGGUUCUCUCAUCUCUCUCUCCUGAAUAUGUUGAGCAAAUCUGCUGAAGUAGAGGACUCAAAUAAGGAGCAGUCUAUGAAAUAAGUAAACAGGUCUGCCACUCUCCUGCGUAUUUGAAUUAUUUUCUAUUUACGUUUAAGAAAAAUUAUUUUUCUCAUUUUUAAUUUGACAGACAAUUUAAUUAUAUAUAAUUCAAAUAAAAAUUCACCAAGAAAAUUCAUUUUUCCCUGUAAUUUGAGUACGUUUAAUAAAUAAAUAAACAAAUGCAGUAGGUCAGUAAAUCUUUUUCUAGUCAAAUAUAUAGUUAGAAUCAUAUAAUGAUUAGGUAUUAAUGUUAGUAUAGUAAUUUCCGUUAUAUUUUUUGUUACCAUGAACAGAUGGAGUAUGUAUAUCUUCCUUCUGGUGAAUUCAUUGAUGAGUUCAUCGAACCUAUACUGGAUCAGAUUGUGGCGGCAAGCUGCUAUUGAUAUGCUUUGAGUUUGAGUAAUUAUGAUAAGUGUUAUCAUGUAAUAAAUGCUUAUGUGAGUUGUUGCGGCCGUGAGUGUGAGUGUAUUCUUCUAUAUACAUCCAAGACUGAGAUUAUAAUUUUAGAAAUGUUGUAUUGCUAUUGUAAGGAAUUGUCGUCAUAUAAUAUUCAGUGUUUAAUAUAAUAGUCGGAAUUUUUUUUUUUUUUUUGAAAUUGCUGUGAGUCUUGGGAGGCUCACUCAUUGUAAUUGAUAUGUUAAACUGAUUAAGGAAGCGGGAAGCAUAAAGUAGACCAAAGUGUUGAAUAGUUCUUUAAAAGAGAAAUAUUGCUAGAAAUUUUAAUUUUAUUUAUUUAUUUAUUAUGUCAUGGUUUUAUUUAUUCAUAAAAUUGAAAGCCACAAUGUUGAGUCUCUUCACAGUAAAAGAAACUUGUGGCCCUAAAUGAUCGUUAGAAUUUAAGAAUAUAUAUAUAAUUUUUUUUUUCAUGUUACUAAGAUUUUUUUUUUAUUUCCAUUCAAAAUUAACCAUUAAAAAGAAUUAAAUUUAAGAAAAGCCAAUUAAAAAGAAAUUGUAACCGUUGCUCCAUUGUGAAAAUUACGUUCAACAUCUCAAGAAAACAAUCUUAGUUGGAAGAAAUUCCGGAAAAAUAUAGAUGGGUUUUUGAAUUUGAAAUUUAAACUCAAUUAAGGAAACUAGUAAAUAAAAGGAAACACAAAACCAUAUUGGCCGUGGCCGUGGCCGUGGACCUGACAACAUAGCCCUCCGAUAAUUUCAAUCUCUUUAUCAUCCUUCCUAAAACACCCUUCCAAACUUCUCAAACUAUAGAAGACAGAAUCACAGACAGGAAUUACAUCAGGGCUAAUUAUGUCAUUUUAAAUUCCUGGGUCAAAUCUGGUGAAGUAUUGUCCUCGUCAUGAUCAUUUGCCAUGCAAAAGUAUAACAAACUCUUCGGCAAUCUCACUACUACUAUGGCAAUAGUGGCUGAAGGUGCUGAAAAAGUAGAGGAAAAAUAAACGGGUUUGACGGGGAAAAAAAAAAGAAGAAGAAGAAGAAGAGAAAUGGAUAAUGCAUUAUUCAUCAAAACAUAAAAUACUGCCGGGCGAAGGAGAUUUCUCUCUUUCUCUCCCAGAAAUUUGGCUCUGCUUCUCACAUCUGCGCUUCUUCUCUUGAUUCUUAUGGUACGGUAAUAUAAUCAAUUUUACGGAAAAAGAAAAAUAGAGAAUUGUAAAAUUACCAGGAAAAUUAUUAAAAAGUAUUAUUAUCUGUUUACAUAUCUUGUUUAUUUGGAAGUCAAUAUAAACUAUAUUUGGAUGGUUUAGAAACUGUCAUUCAGAAAUUCAAGAAGGCAGAGUCAAAUUUGGACACUCUAAAUUAAGAAGCUGGGAGCGUCCCUUAUCCAUGGAGUUGAUGCAACUGAAAUGAAGCGUCAUCCUGAAUUGAGAGAGCGGAGCGUUGACAGAAUUAUCUUCAACUUCCCCCAUGCUGGCUUUUCUGGAAAGGAAGACAACAAUCAACUUAUUUAGUGAGCUGCUUUAAGAUACAGUUCCUUGUAGAAAUUUUCUGUUUCUUCUGAAUUGCUUCCCGAUUUGAAACUUUCAUUUCUUUUGCAAUGAUCCAGCUAUUCAUUGUGUUAAGGAAGCUCACACUUGCAAUUUGGUCAGCAGAGCAGAGGAUCACAGCAGCAGCUACAUUCAGUUGCGAAUUGAUGACGUGGCUUGCCAGCUGGCGCCUGGUGGUUAUGUGAACAGUUGUGCAUGUGUUAAUUAACUUAAGCUAUUAUAAUUAGUUACUUGAAAUAGUUAAUUAGCUAUAGUUAGUUACAACAAUCUGAGCUGAGCUUCAGCUUAGUAUAAAAAGGAACCUCUUGUACAUAUCAACGUGUGUGUGAUUAAUGAAAUGAUGUUCUAGAAAAAUCUCAGAUCUAGUUCUUAUUUCCUUUCAAUUUUCUCACUGGUUUCUCAGCUGCCAAACAAUAUUUUCGUUCUUCAACUCAUUGUCACUUUUUGAUGUUAAUACAGGGAUUAACAACUCAUGCUUUUGAAGAUCUCACGGAUAGGAUUGAAACUUAAUUGAAAAGUAUAGUUUCUAAAGGAGAAUUGCUAAAUUGCUGAUGAAGAAAUUAUAGUCUCGUUUAUUUGGAAGUUAAUAUAAACCAUCUUUGGAUGGAUUAGAAACUGUCACUCAGAAAUUCAAGAAGGCAGAGUCAAACUUGGACACUCUAAAUUAAGAAGCUGGGAGCAUCCCUUAUCCAUGGAGUUGAUGCAACUGAAAUGAGGCGUCAUCCUGAAGUGAGAGAGCGGAUCGUUGAUAGAAUUAUCUUCAAAUUCCCCCAUGCUGGCUUUUCUGGAAAGGAAGACAACAAUCAACUUAUUCAAUGAGCUGCUUUAAAAUACAGUUCCUUGUAGAAAUUUUGUGUUUCUUCUGUAUUGCUUACUAAUCUGAAACUUUCAUUUCUUUUGCAAUGAUCCAGCUAUUCACUGUCAUCGUUUGAUGUUAAUACGGGGAUUAGCAACUCAUGCUUUUGAAGAUUUCAUGGAUAGGAUUGAAACUUAAUUGAAAAUCAUAGUUUCCAAAGGGGAAUUGCUAAAUUGCUGUGAAGAAAUUAUAGUCUGGUUUAGAUUUAGAUACAAGUUGAAAGCGAAAACCCAGCUUUGAUUUUAAGGGAUCUGGGAUUUGGAUGACUCUUGCAUAUAUAGAAUAUUUUUGUAAUGUUUGCUUUCAAUGGUUGAUUACUUGUUAGUGAGGAAUUUCAGAGUGACAAAAAAUGCAGAGUCCUGUGGAAACGUGGUGUUAAGAAUAGAAUCAAGUUAGUUAAUGAGAAUGCUGACAUGGCAGCUGAGUCAGCUAAAGGUUGUUAUAGAAGUUGUUAGUAGUAAUCUGCGCGUGUGUGCAAUGUGUGUAGAAUCUUCUAUGCACAUAUAUAAAAAGGCUUGUAACCUCCAGAUUCAUUAUGAUCAAUAAUAACAGAAUUUUCAGUAUACAGAAGUUUUCUUUCUUUCUAUUUUCUCAAUAACCAAACAACAUCACAGUUUCAUAUAAAACUUAAUACGUGGGUCGAUACACUACAGUGACAUGAAAAUGGUUAAAAAAAAAAAGAGUGAACUUGCUUAAUAAAGUGAUCCGUUUUGCUUAAAAAUUCAAAACAUUGUAGUCUAGAGUUCCCUGUGAUAUUUUAAAAAUCACUAAUUCUGAAAAUGCUGGCUCGUAUACCUGUUCGAUGAUCGUUCUUCUGGUAAUCGCAGAAUCCAUAUGAGUCUUGUGGAAGGUUUCUUGAAAUGCAAGUGGCAUGCUGAGGCAUAGUUGUGAAGUUCAUGUAACCCACAAAACAACUGCUCCAUUUCGCGACUGGAAUAUCGAGGAACUUGCUCCCAAACACUGUUUGUCAUCAAUGUACCCUGUCAACCUUAAAAAAGAAGACUACCCUGGUUACAACAACAAGAGAGGAGCUGGUUUGAACUGUGAUGAGCCCUUCCCCUUGGGAGAGUGCAGUACCUUCAUAUUUGGAUUCUAUCGUGCUCGCAAGAGAGUAAUGAGUUAUGGUGGAUUCGCUAACAAAAGACAUCAGCCGGUUCAAGAGAUUCCAAUCCAAGUGCAGAAGGAUGGAACUCCAUUUGACUCGAGAUAUGCUAAUGCAAAGUCAGCCACUGGUAUGAAUGAAUUUCCAGCCUCUUCGAAGUUUAAUGGCAGCGGCAGGGGUUACUCUGUUCGUGAAUAUCCUAGGUUUGACAGUUUCAUACAUCCUCGAACAAGUUUCACUAGAAAUAUGACUGAUCAUCCAGCAUAUAAGAGACUAGCUUUGAUGAGUAAUAUACGGAGAGAAAAUGCUAGGUCCCAUAAUGGCCGCUUCAAUAGUUCCAUAAUUCUGUGUGAAAGGUAUAUCGCAGAAGUACCAGGAUUCCAAAGAGAAAAUGCGAGGAGUUUGUAUCCUAUGGAUGAAAGUCACUUGUUAAGGUUUCAAACAAUCAAUUUUUCUUACACCGUCUAUUUGGAAGAAUUAGAACAAGGGAGCAAAAAAUUCUUAUGCUGAUAGUUCCCAUUCUCCAUAAUUUUUUGUAGUGCAUGUUUUUAAGCAUAUCUAGCAUUACUGAAUGAAGUAGAAAUUUCAGGAAGCCAAGAAAUUUUGUGUGCAUUGAUUGCCUCUAGAUUUUAAAUUCAAUUGAUCUCCCCUUGGUUGAAGUAGAUGAUAGUAAAUAGUAUCUGUUUUAUUUCAGAUUCCAAAAACAAUCCUCCAUGUGAAUAGUUAAGUAGAGAUCCGCAUUGCUUUCUUUUUCUUUAGAGGAAUGGCUGAUUCCUUCGAUCAUGACAUUAUAUCACAGCCUUCACAAUCACAAAAACUCGAGUAAUUCUAAUCAUAUAACCAAAAAAGAGUUGAGUUCGAGCUCCUUCAUUUUAACUGAUUUAUUAUGAUGGAUAACAACAAAUGAUGAGAUGGUGUCGGAUAUGAGAAUGGGAAUUAGUUGUCAGCGAGAAAAUUAAUUUAUCAAGAAUACAGUUAGUCGCAGAAACUCUCCUAGUCCUUGGAAGUAAUUUAAAUGAAAGGUGCAUCAAUUUGUUUGUGUAGCAUACUGUAUGGCUAGAGAGUUUCAUGGUCUUGGUCUUCGCAGUUUUCUUAUUGGUGUGGUUUGGUUUUCUUUAUUUUUUGCCGACAAAUAAACAAAUCAACUUGCAAUAAAAUAAAUAUUAAAAUACUCUGAAAAAGCUCAAAUGCCGACAAAUUCCAGGUUGUUCAGUUCAAAAUUAAUUCUAUAGUAAGUAUGAAGAAUAAAAUAAAAGCAAUCAAUUUGCAAAUUGAAAAUUCUGCAUUCCUAAACCAAUGUCCAAACAGGGGUAAACAUGUCUGCAAACAUAAACAAUGAUCAAACACUGUUUGCAAAAGCAUCAAUCUGCUUUGUAAAUUAGACCUGCUGGUGUGAUAUGGCGGAGGCUGCGGUGAACUGUGCAAUAGAGACCUUGGGUCCUUUGCUUGUCGAAGAAAUCAGAUUGUGGGGAGGUGUUAGAAAAGAAGUUCAAAGCAUCAAAAGCGAACUGGAGAGUCUCAGAUCUGUCCUCAAAGACGCGGAUGCAAGGGCAGCAGUCGAAGAAUUAGAAGGAGGCGGUGAGGAAAGUGUCAGAACUUGGGUGAAACAACUGAGGGAUGAAGCUUAUCGCAUUGAAGAUGUGAUCGACGAGUACACACUCAUGGUGGCAAAACUCCCUCAUGGGAGUGGCCUCGUUGGUGUUCUCCAUAGAAUCAGUCGUUCCAUAAAGAAGCUGAAGCUGCGGCGUGGAGUUGCUACUGAGAUUCAAGAUAUCAAAUCAGCGCUUGCUGAUAUAAAGCGAAGGGGAGAAAGCUAUCGAUUCAGAUCUAUUGAUGAACCAUCGAGCAGUGGAACCAGAAAUGUUAUCCCACAUGACUCUCGAGUUCGUUCCUUUUUCGUUGAAGAUGAUGAAGUUGUGGGCAUCGAAUCCAUUAAAGAUAAAUUGAUUGAUUUGAUGGUGAACGGAAGAUCCGAACGUUCAGUGGUUGCUGUGGUGGGUGAAGGAGGACUAGGCAAGACCACUCUUGCCGGAAAACUUUUUAACAAUGAUGGUUUAAAAACUCACUUCAGUAGCCGGGCUUGGGUCACCGUUGGGAAAGAAUACAACAAAAAUGAAUUGUUGAGGACAGUUAUAAAGGAGUUUCACAGUUUCUCAGGGCAGCCUACUCCAGUCGAGAUACACAAAAUGGAAGAGAUGGAGCUGAUCACCACGCUGAGGGGCCACUUGAAGGACAAGAAUUACGUGGUUGUGUUCGACGAUGUUUGGAAGAUUGAUUUUUGGGGAGACGUGGAGCAUGCUUUACGUGAUAACAAGAAAUGCAGCAGGAUAAUUGUCACAACACGGCACAUGAAUGUCGCUAAGGCUUGCAAAUCAUCUUCCCCUGUUCAUAUCCAUGAGCUUGAAACUUUGCCUCCAAUUGAAGCGUGGAAACUUUUUUGUAGAAAGGCUUUCGGACCAAGCUCCGGAGGCUGUUGUCCUUCAGAGUUGAAGGAGUUGUCCCAGGACAUCCUUGGAAAAUGUGGAGGUUUACCUCUUGCUAUCGUGGCCGUAGGUGGACUUCUUUCAACCAAGAACAGGGUUGUAUCUGAAUGGAAGAAACUAUUUGAUCGGUUGGGCUCAAUCUUAGGAAGUGAUCCCCAUCUAAAAGACUGCAACAGAGUUUUAUCUGAAGGGUAUCACGAUCUUCCUCACCAUCUGAAAUCAUGUCUUCUGUACUUUGGCUUAUUUCAAGAGAGCUGCAAAGUUAACUGUGCUAGACUCAUCCGUUUGUGGAUAGCUGAGGGCUUUGUCCAAUACAGCAAAUGCCCCACGUCUGAACAAGUUGCAGAAGAAUUCUUGAAUGAGCUCAUUGACAGAAGCUUGGUAGAGGUUUCAGAGAGUGAUAUUUCUGGACGAGCUAGAAUCUGCCAAAUUCAUGAUCUUAUGCACGAGAUCGUCAUCAGAAAAACUGAAGAAUUGGGCUUCGGUCGUGUGCUGAACGGAGAGGACUUGAGUCGUUGCAGUAAAACUCGACGCAUUACUAUACAGAGAAGUAUUGAUGAUGGUGCUUUAGAGAGCAUCAAGCACUCGAAGGUCCGUUCUGUUUUUCUUUUCAAUGUAGAUAAGCUGCCCGACUCUUUCAUGAAUGCAAGUAUUGCCAAUUUCAAGCUUAUGAAAAUACUAGAUCUGGAAGAUGCUCCUGUAGAUUACCUUCCUGAAGGAGUGGGAAACUUAUUCAAUUUACACUACUUAAGUGUGAGAAAUACAAAUGUAAAAAUAAUUCCCAAGUCCAUUGGAAAUCUUCUCGGUUUAGAGAUUUUGGAUCUGAAAGAUACUUUGGUGAGAGAACUUCCAGUGGAGAUCAGGAAUCUGAAAAAGCUACGUUAUCUAAUGGUGUACAAGUACAAAUAUGACAGAAUUUCUACAAUCGAAGCUGUAGCCAGAGUGCGCGGGGGCUUUGGGUCUCUAACGGAUCUGCAGAAGUUGUCUAUUAUAGAAGCUGACUCUCAAGUGCUUCAAGAGCUUAUGAAGCUAAGGCAGUUAAGAAAGUUGGGCAUUAGGCCCCAAAAUGGAAAUGGCAAGGAUGUGUGUGCUUUGAUUGCAAAUUUGGAAAACCUAGAGUCUUUAACAGUAGAAAUGACAAGCAAAGAAGAAAUACUUGACUUGCUGUCUUUGAGUAGUUCUCCUCAAUAUCUGCAGCGUCUCUACUUGACGGGGAAUAUGAAGAAACUGCCGGAUUGGAUUUUUAAACUUAAAAAUCUAAUCAGAUUGGGUUUGGAACUGUCAGGAUUGG
rnacentral:lncRNA from 1 species